CCUACGGGUGGCAGCAGUGGGGAAUAUUGCACAAUGGGCGGAAGCCUGAUGCAGCGACGCCGUGUGAGGGAUGACGGCCUUCGGGUUGUAAACCUCUUUCAGCACCGACGAAGCGUGAGUGACGGUAGGUGCAGAAGAAGCGCCGGCCAACUACGUGCCAGCAGCCGCGGUAAGACGUAGGGCGCGAGCGUUGUCCGGAUUUAUUGGGCGUAAAGAGCUCGUAGGCGGCGUGUCGCGUCGACCGUGAAAACUUGGGGCUUAACUUCAAGCUUGCGGUCGAUACGGGCAUGCUUGAGUUCGGUAGGGGAGACUGGAAUUCCUGGUGUAGCGGUGAAAUGCGCAGAUAUCAGGAGGAACACCGGUGGCGAAGGCGGGUCUCUGGGCCGAUACUGACGCUGAGGAGCGAAAGCGUGGGGAGCGAACAGGAUUAGAUACCCUAG
rnacentral:rRNA from 1 species